AACUAAACCCGAUAAAGUGGAAAUACUUUUUUGUUAAGUUAUUUGACAGGCUUUUACUGACAAUAACAAAAAAGAUUGGAACGAUAGCGGGACCGAAC
rnacentral:sRNA from 1 species